GGCUAACUACGUGCCAGCAGCCGCGGUAAUACGUAGGUGGCAAGCGUUGUCCGGAUUUAUUGGGCGUAAAGCGAGCGCAGGCGGUUUUUUAAGUCUGAUGUGAAAGCCUUCGGCUUAACCGGAGAAGUGCAUCGGAAACUGGGAGACUUGAGUGCAGAAGAGGACAGUGGAACUCCAUGUGUAGCGGUGGAAUGCGUAGAUAUAUGGAAGAACACCAGUGGCGAAGGCGGCUGUCUAGUCUGUAACUGACGCUGAGGCUCGAAAGCAUGGGUAGCGAACAGGAUUAGAUACCCUGGUAGUCCAUGCCGUAAACGAUGAGUGCUAAGUGUUGGAGGGUUUCCGCCCUUCAGUGCUGCAGCUAACGCAUUAAGCACUCCGCCUGGGGAGUACGACCGCAAGGUUGAAACUCAAAGGAAUUGACGGGGGCCCGCACAAGCGGUGGAGCAUGUGGUUUAAUUCGAAGCUACGCGAAGAACCUUACCAGGUCUUGACAUCUUCUGCCAAUUUUAGAGAUAAGACGUUCCCUUCGGGGACAGAAUGACAGGUGGUGCAUGGUUGUCGUCAGCUCGUGUCGUGAGAUGUUGGGUUAAGUCCCGCAACGAGCGCAACCCUUAUUAUCAGUUGCCAGCAUUCAGUUGGGCACUCUGGUGAGACUGCCGGUGACAAACCGGAGGAAGGUGGGGAUGACGUCAAAUCAUCAUGCCCCUUAUGACCUGGGCUACACACGUGCUACAAUGGACGGUACAACGAGUCGCGAAGUCGUGAGGCUAAGCUAAUCUCUUAAAGCCGUUCUCAGUUCGGAUUGUAGGCUGCAACUCGCCUACAUGAAGUCGGAAUCGCUAGUAAUCGCGGAUCAGCAUGCCGCGGUGAAUACGUUCCCGGGCCUUGUACACACCGCCCGUCACACC
rnacentral:rRNA from 2 species